rnacentral:rRNA from 1 species
UACGGGGGGGGCAAGCGUUGUUCGGAAUUACUGGGCGUAAAGGGUUCGUAGGUGGCUUGUUAAGUCAGACGUGAAAUCCCUCGGCUCAACCGGGGAACUGCGUCUGAGACUGAUGACGCUCGAGUGCAGGAGAGGAACGCGGAAUUCCAGGUGUAGCGGUGAAAUGCGUAGAUAUCUGGAGGAACACCGGUGGCGAAGGCGGCGUUCUGGACUGCAACUGACACUGAGGAACGAAAGCCAGGGGAGCAAACGGG